rnacentral:snRNA from 1 species
UCCGUUGCGCAGUGGCAAUAUCGUAACCAAUGAAGGUCUCCUGAGGUGCGAUCAUUGCUAGUUGAAAACUACCUGCAAAGCU